UACGUAGGCAGCGAGCGUUGUUCGGAGUUACUGGGCGUAAAGGGUGUGUAGGCGGUUUGUCGCGUCUGCCGUGAAAAUUCGAGGCUCAACCUCGAACUUGCGGUGGGUACGGGCAGACUAGAGUGUGGUAGGGGAGACUGGAAUUCCUGGUGUAGCGGUGAAAUGCGCAGAUAUCAGGAGGAACACCGAUGGCGAAGGCAGGUCUCUGGGCCACUACUGACGCUGAGAAGCGAAAGCGUGGGGAGCAAACAGG
rnacentral:rRNA from 1 species